UAUACAUUGGCUGAUCAAUCAUAGAGAUGUUACCGGCAAACCCCGUUUUUCAGGCAGACCUAGGUCUGCCUAGGCAAACCUAGGUCUGCCUAGGUAGACCUAGGUCUGCCAAGCACCUCGUUUGGCAAACCUAGGAUUGCCUGAAAAUUUUAGGCAGACCUAGGUUUGCCAAAAGUGAUUUUAGGCAAACUAGGUUUGCCAAACGAUUUUUUUGGCAAACCCCGUUUCUGAUUUCUACCGCUAAAGUGACUUUACCGGAAAACUUUUUCUACCGCUAAAGUGACUUUACCGGAAAACUUUUCACCGCUAAAGUGGCCUUACCGGAAAACUUUUUCUACCGCUAAAGUGACUUUACCGGAAAACUUUUUCUACCGCUAAACUGACAUUACCGGAAAACUUUUUCUACCGCUAAAGUGACUUUACCGGAAAACUUUUUCUACCGCUAAAGUGGCCUUAGCGGAAAACUUUUUCUACCGCUAAAGUGACAGUACGAAUUCAAUGAGAAACAACUAUUUAUCCCCACGCAGACCGGGGCGAGCGGUGGUUUAUUAUAAAAGAAUCACAGGUGAGGCUGAAUAACAGUGUAACAUAAUAUCACAAGUGCUUAAAACAGGGCACGAGAAAUCUGAAUAGCAAAAAAAAUUGGAAAAAAAUGCAAAAUUUACAAUUACAAUUUGAAAAAAGAUACAAUUUGAAAUCGUUACAGAUUCCUUGUCACUUUUUUAACAUAAUAUCAUAAUAUCACAAGUGCUUAAAAAAGGGCAUGAGGGAAAACGUUACACAAUUGAUGCAAUUCGAAAUCAUUAUAGAUUUCUUGUCACUUUUUUAUUUUUUAGAGGAAAAGUACAUUCAAAGGAAAUUUAUUUAUUGUUGCAGCUGAGGCUGGAGUGACAUUUGGAGUUGCACAGUUUGCCAUUUUUGCGGCACUUACACUGGUUUGAGGUGCAACCUUUUUUGCAGUUGCACCUUUCGAACCCCUGCGCAGAACCCCCAGCAACACUGGCUGCGGCCGCACGUACCGUAACCUUUUUUUCGACUGGCACCUCACUGACCGAUAUGAAGGCCGUGGCGCACACGUCGAAUUCCGACCGACAGUACCUUUUAGGGAGGAUGCCGUCUUUGGUCCCUAUUUUGUAUAACUCGUAAAAUAAACAGAAAAAAAAAUUGAUAAAAAUAAUGGUUAACUACGAAACUUACCAAGCUCUGCUUUCAACCGGUCUCGA
rnacentral:lncRNA from 1 species